UACAUGGGGUGCAAACGUUGUCCGGAUUUAUUGGGCGUAAAGCGCGUGUAGGCGGCCAGAUAGGUCUGCUGUGAAAACUCGAGGCUCAACCUCGAGCUGUCGGCGGAAACCAUCUAGCUAGAGUCCGGAAGAGGAGAGUGGAAUUCCUGGUGUAGCGGUGAAAUGCGCAGAUAUCAGGAAGAACACCCGUGGCUAAGGCGGCUCUCUAGUACGGUACUGACGCUGAGACGCGAAAGCGUGGGGAGCGAACAGG
rnacentral:rRNA from 1 species